GCAAGUCGAACGGAGUAGAAAUAAUUAGUGGGCGGACGGGGUGAGUAACGCGUGAGAAUCUGCCUUUCAGGACGGAGACAACAGUUGGAAAACGACUGCUAAAGCCCCCGAUGUACCGAAAGGGAAAAUAUAUAUAGCCUGAAGAUGAGCUCGCGUCCGAUUAGCUAGUUGGGGGGGUAAAAGCCCACCAAGGCGACGAUCGGUAGCUGGUCUGAGAGGACGAUCAGCCACACUGGGAAUGAGACACGGCCCAGACUCCUACGGGAGGCAGCAGUGGGGAAUUUUCCGCAAUGGGCGAAAGCCUGACGGAGCAAGACCGCGUGGGGGAAGAAGGCUCUUGGGUUGUAAACCCCUUUUCUCUGGGAAGAAGUAGUGAAAGCAACCUGACGGUACCAGAGGAAUCAGCAUCGGCUAACUCCGUGCCAGCAGCCGCGGUAAGACGGAGGAUGCAAGCGUUAUCCGGAAUGAUUGGGCGUAAAGCGUCCGCAGGUGGCAGUUCAAGUCUGCUGUCAAAGACCGGGGCUUAACUUCGGAAAGGCAGUGGAAACUGAACAGCUAGAGUAUGGUAGGGGCAGAGGGAAUUCCUGGUGUAGCGGUGAAAUGCGUAGAGAUCAGGAAGAACAUCGGUGGCGAAGGCGCUCUGCUGGACCAUAACUGACACUCAGGGACGAAAGCUAGGGGAGCGAAUGGGAUUAGAUACCCCAGUAGUCCUAGCCGUAAACGAUGGAUACUAGGUGUUGUCUGUAUCGACCCGGACAGUGCCGUAGCUAACGCGUUAAGUAUCCCGCCUGGGGAGUACGCACGCAAGUGUGAAACUCAAAGGAAUUGACGG
rnacentral:rRNA from 1 species